rnacentral:rRNA from 1 species
AGCAGCCGCGGUAAUUCCAGCUCCAAUAGCGUAUAUUAAAGUUGUUGCAGUUAAAAAGCUCGUAGUUGAAUUUCGGGAUCAAUUUGCUGGUCGUGCCUCUGGUACGUACUGGUAUUAUUGGUUUCUCCCUUCUGACGAACCAUGAUGCCAUUAAUUUGAUGUCGUGGAGAAUCAGGACUGUUACUUUGAAAAAAUUAGAGUGUUUAAAGCAGGCAUUAGCUUGAAUACAUUAGCAUGGAAUAAUGAAAUAGGACGUUUGAUCCUAUUUUGUUGGUUUCUAGGAUUGACGUAAUGAUUAAUAGGGAUAGUUGGGGGCAUUAGUAUUCAAUUGUCAGAGGUGAAAUUCUUGGAUUUAUUGAAGACUAACUACUGCGAAAGCAUUUGCCAAGGAUGUUUUCAUUAAUCAAGAACGAAAGUUAGGGGAUCGAAGACGAUCAGAUACCGUCGUAGUCUUAACCAUAAACUAUGCCGACUAGGGAUCGGAUGAUGUUAAUUUUUUAAUGACUCAUUCGGCGCCUUA